UGCUAAUGUCAGCACGGCGAAGAAAGGGCAGGAGGCGGUUCCAAUCUUCUCCUUUUCAUCAUUGCUUCAUUCAUCUGUUAGCCUGACAUUUAUCAAGAGGCUUCUGUUUGCUGGAUGCCACUUUGGGCUUUAUCAACCUCAAAAUGGAAAAGACUCUCCACAGAGAAAGUGACUUUGUAAGCAAGUCAUUGCAACAGAAUCACAUCAG
rnacentral:lncRNA from 12 species